rnacentral:lncRNA from 1 species
CUGUCGGAAAUAAGAGUUUCAAAGAGCUUUGAGUUUGGUUUGGUUUGGUUUGGUUUGGUUUGGUUGGAUGGAUGCUGCUCUUUGGGUUGUCCCUGUUCAGGAACAUGUGGGCUCUCUGUCUGGAAACAAAAGUAAACUGGAACAGCAUUAAUUAAUUGCACUGACAUUACAGCUAUAUAUACACACAUGAUAUAUGAUGUUCUUCUCUCUUGCUCUUCCUUUUCUUAUUCUUGUGUCUUCACCUUCACUUCCAUUCCGC